CUACUCACAAAGGGGAGCCAUUUGGCUGAGAUUGAGGUAACUCUAAACCCUUCGUACCUGUUUCGGUUAUGCGAUCGUAGGAAUUGUGACGAGUAGAAGU
rnacentral:ncRNA from 2 species